AUCUCAUCUCUUCCCUCAUCUGCUGGCAUAUCACAGAUGCUAGAGUGUGCAUCUGUUCAUCUGAUAGGGAGAAAGGCCCACUGACUGGAGGAGGAGGAGGCAUAGAGGUGGAUGGUCCAGCCGAGCUGGAAGGUACAUCAGGGAAGGCCAUAGGGCUAUGUGGAGGAGAGUGGUGGUCAGGCUCCUGAUGUGGGAUUUCGGGCUCUAAGGUUUGGGAUUUUCUUUUAGGGACCUUAACCCAAGACCCAUCUUUCUUGUGAAACUCCAUUCUA
rnacentral:lncRNA from 1 species